rnacentral:rRNA from 1 species
CAGCCGCCGCGGUAAUACGUAGGGUGCAAACGUUAAUCGGAAUUACUGGGCGUAAAGCGUGCGCAGGCGGUCCGCUAAGACAGAUGUGAAAUCCCCGGGCUUAACCUGGGAACUGCAUUUGUGACUGGCGGGCUAGAGUAUGGCAGAGGGGGGUAGAAUUCCACGUGUAGCAGUGAAAUGCGUAGAGAUGUGGAGGAAUACCGAUGGCGAAGGCAGCCCCCUGGGCCAAUACUGACGCUCAUGCACGAAAGCGUGGGGAGCAAACAGGAUUAGAUACCCCUGUAGUCCCUGUCUCUUAUAC